CACAGGAGCUUCAAGGUCAACAUUAGAUCCUUGUGGAUUGAGGUAAAGUCAUACAUUUUUAUACACUAUGAGAACUUGUAGUCAAGAAAUUAGUUUAUUUCUGUCAGUAACAAAAAUUUUAAAUAGUUAACACUUUGUAUGUUCUGUAGCGUGAUGCUUUGCAAUUUUAUUCUCCAAAACAGAGCAAAGGUUUGUUGUAUUGUUCUCUUUAACAGUAUGUUUAAAGAAUUUAACAGUAUAAGCCUGUUAAAAGGAGAUGAAGGCAAGAAAGAUGUAUAAUUAUCUUUGAUGCAUGAUAUUUUGUGGCUUGUUAUUUAAUUACUUCAUUGGAAGAUACUAUAAAAUGUUGUACUUCACACAUACAGAAUAUAAAUAUUGAAUAUUUUAUCACUGCUUUCGCAUAUACCUUAUAACUAAAUACACCUACCUUUCUUUUUUUUCCCCCAAGGAAUAAUUGCAUUCCAUAUAACGUCCAUGGCAGAUAAGCAAGGAAAACAUUUGAGAGAACUUCCUCUUUGCAUUUUGAUACUAUUGGUGGUCAGUCUGAAUAAUGAGCAGUUAUUUUGCAUUCACAAAUUUCACAAAUUUUUUUUUUGUCUCAACUACUGAACUUUCACCACAGAUUGUUGGAGAUUCAGUGGGUCAGAGAAGUGCAAGAAACAAAAAGGAUUGCUCAAAAACUGAAUACCGGCAUGACGGAGUCUGCUGUGAUAAAUGUGCUGGCAUAAGUUGAUAAAGAAAUGCUCCAGUGGCAUGACAUCUACAUGUGAGAUAUGUACAGAAGGGACCUACCAAGACAAGAUGAAUUAUUUCCCAAACUGCUUCAGGUGCCAGAAAUGCAACAAGCGCAAGCAUGCAGUGGUGAUUUCACCGUGUACAUACCAAAAUAACACUGUUUGUGGAUGUCAGAAUGGAUAUCACAUGAGGUUCUAUGAUAGCUUUUCAUGGGAUUGUGUCCCCCAUAAAAACAGAGCUUCUAGAUUCUUAUAAGAUAUUUCGUAGGUAUUAUGAUGCGCUUAUGUACUGUAUAUGUAUUGUGUUCUUUUGACAUAUUUAUUUUUCAGAUUAGUAGCUAGAGUUUAAUAUUUUUGUAUAACAAAAUUUAUCCAGAAAAGUUUUCAUCUAUUGAUUUAAUAAA